CUGGCAUCUUGAAUUUAGGGCCCUUCAGUUUCGCAUCUGGACCUUCAAUAUUCACAUCUGGAACAUCAACGUCCACCUUGGGUCCUGAGACGUCAAGGUCAGCCUUGGGCAGGUUCACAUCCACAUCUGGGCCCUCUCCUUUGAAGCCAGGCAUGCUGAACUUGGGCAUUUUCACCUUGGGCAUCUUCAGGUGCCAGUCUGGGCCUUGAACCUCCACAUCUGGGGCAUCAAUGUCCAUUUUGGGUCCUUUGAUUUCAAC
rnacentral:lncRNA from 1 species